rnacentral:rRNA from 1 species
AUUGAACGCUGGCGGCAGGCUUAACACAUGCAAGUCGAGCGAGCGGCGGACGGGUGAGUAAUGUAUGGGAAACUGCCUGAUGGAGGGGGAUAACUAAUGGAAAAGGUAGCUAAUACCGCAUACCAUCAGAUGUGCCACGAUGGGAUUAGCUAGUAGGUGGGGUAAUGGCUCACCUAGGCGACGAUCCCUAGCUGGUAUGAGAGGAUGACCAGCAACACUGGAACUGAGCCACGGUCCAGACUCCUACGGCAGGCAUCAGUGUGUAAUAUUGAACAAUGUGCGCAAGCCUGAUGCAGCCAGGCCGCGUGUGUGAAGAAGGCCUUCGGGUUGUAAAGCACUUUCAGCGAGGAGGCGUUACUCGCAGAAGAAGCACCGGCUAACUCCGUGUCAGCAGCCGCGGUAAUUC